AAUCCAAUACUGUAGUACAGUGAAUAAAAGUCAUGUAUCAACAGUCUUUACAACAUGGACAGUUAAACCUUUUGUAAUUUAAUUAAAACAACAAAAGAGAAAACAAGCAGAUUGAGAUGUCCUUCAACGAUGCUUGAUGACGUGGCAGCCGAGACAUGCAGCAUUCUAGGACGCAGCCUUAUUAAAAAUAAAAAUAAUGGACGCAGCCUUAUUUAUUUUUAUUUUAUAUAUGUAUAAUGUACCCCCUGACUGAACUUGUAUUUCUUAUUAUUUAAAAAAAAUAUAUUAAAAAUAUUUUUAAAAGAACGCAGCUGUGCGUUUGAGAAACGACCGGAAACGACUUAUAUGUCGCGAGGCCAUCACGUGACCACAAUAUUUACCAGAAGACCGUUAUUUGCUCGAGUUCCCUCAACUUUUUUGUCACAAAUAACAUUAUUAAUAACCUGUAAAUAAUAAAAUUUGUACACAUUACGUUCCUUUUCACGUUGUAAUAGUAUGUUUUUGGUUUAAUAGUCGGCUUUAAGUUAGUUUUUCUGUCAGUUUGAUCGUCAAAAUCUUGAAAGUUAUCUACAGCCACACAUCCACUGUAUACCAAGUUAUGAUGAUCAAUUAUGAGAAUGCAAAAUGAUUUAUAGAUCAGUAAACAAUCAACAAAAAGGUAAUGUCUUAAUUAAUAUAUUUCUGCUUUUGUUACUUAUUCAUGUAUUUGAAUUACAUCAUUCAAAAUCAAAUGUUAAUAAUUAUAGGGUUUCAACUUGUUGCAGCUUUACAAAAAAUGUAGAAUUUGUAGGAGCAUGGACAACUGAGUAACAAAGUCAUAUUAUGCAGAUGGGUGCUCAUGGUGGCCUCCAAAUAAAUACAUGGACAGGCUGCUAAAGAGGGUCAGGAUGAUGGAGAUGCAAGAGCCAAAGACAGCACGGACCAAACACCAGGCCAGAAUUCUGCAUGAGUCAGUUUCCAGCCUUUUUCACAAAGUUGCCGACAACUGGAAGAAUGUCCCAAAUUGCUGAAAAAAGAAAUUCAAUUGAGUAAUUUUCACUCUAGAGACCCUGGGGUGACCAACAAGGACGAAUGAAAACUCCAGUGAGUGUCUCUAAGGUAGAUCCUAAUGCAGAUGGAUGGAAUGUUGAUCCGCCUAACAUGCAAGAUUUUCUGCACCGAGAACUUUGGAUGACCAUCAAGACAAGCACUCGUUUUGAGUCCUGAGACCCUGGGGUGACCACCGUGAACAAAUACAGACUGCAAAAAGGCAGUCUUGACGGUUCUAGGAUGAAUGCAAAUAAAGACUGACCACCUGACUUCAGCGGUCCAGUCUCUUGUGGGAAGCAGGUGUUUGUUACCCCAAAUACGGAUGAAGAGUGACGAAGAGGAUGAUGACUUUUUUUCUCAAACAUCAUCUGAAGAUCUUGACAGGCUGGAGACAAAAUUAACAGACUGAGGGUUUAUACAAAGAAUCUUACUCAGCCAAUAUUAAAGAUAAGAUAUUUUUACAAAAUGUUCUUUUCAUUGUUUAGGAUGAUUUUAUGUAGAAAACAAUACAUCACAAAAAAGA